rnacentral:rRNA from 1 species
UACGAAGGGGGCGAGCGUUGUUCGGAGUUACUGGGCGUAAAGGGCGCGUAGGCGGCGCUCCAAGUUAGGCGUGAAAGCCCCGGGCUCAACCUGGGAAUUGCGCUUAAGACUGGAGUGCUCGAGUGCGGAAGAGGUGAGUGGAAUUCCCAGUGUAGAGGUGAAAUGCGUAGAUAUGCGGAGGAACACCGAUGGCGAAGGCAGCCCCCUGGGCCAAUACUGACGCUCAGGCACGAAAGCGUGGGGAGCAAACAGG